rnacentral:rRNA from 1 species
GAAUCCUUGCGGCCGAAUAUCCAAGGUUUCCAGAGUAAAGCUGAUCUGCUCUGGGUAAGUCGGGGCCUAAGGAGAGGCAGAGAUGCGUAUCCGAUGGACAGCAGGUUUAAGAUUCCUGCACCCCUUGUUAUCAGAACUGCGGGGACACGGGAAGGGAAGCAGAGCCGGGAAUGGAAAGCCCGGUGCAAGCGAAGUAGUCGCAGGGUUGGAAAAUCCGCCCUGCAUGAGACGAAGGCGUGAUGCGGAGCGAAAUGAAGUAGUGAAGCUGCGGCCCCUUCCUGUCGAGAAAAGCCGCUAUCGUGUAGCAAGGGCCCGUACCGUAAACCGACACAGGUGGAUGAGGAGAGGAUCCUAAGGCCGGCGGGAGAAGUGUUGUUAAGGAACUCGGCAAAAUGACUCCGUAACUUCGGGAGAAGGAGUGCUGCGCAAGCAGCCGCAGAGAAAUGGCCCAAGCAACUGUUUAGCAAAAACACAGGUCUAUGCGAAACCGGAAGGUGAGGUAUAUGCUGACGCCUGCCCGGUGCUGGAAGGUUAAGGGGAGAGCUUAGCGCGAGCGAAGGUUUGAACUUAAGCCCCAGUAAACGGCGGCCGUAACUAUAACGGUCCUAAGGUAGCGAAAUUCCUUGUCGGGUAAGUUCCGACCCGCACGAAAGGCGUAAUGAUUUGGGCACUGUCUCAACAACACACCCGGUGAAAUUGAAAUACCAGUGAAGAUGCUGGUUACCCGCGCCAGGACGGAAAGACCCCAUGGAGCUUUACUCCAGCCUGAUACUGGGAUUCGGUAUUGCAUGUACAGGAUAGGUGGGAGGCUAAGAACUCAUGGCGCCAGCCGUGAGGGAGCCGAUGUUGGGAUACCACCCCUGCAGUACUGGGUUUCUAACCUGCGCCCGUGACCCGGGCGGGGGACAAUGUCAGGCGGGGAGUUUGACUGGGGCGGUCGCCUCCGAAAGGGUAUCGGAGGCGCUCAAAGGUCUCCUCAGGAUGGUUGGAAACCAUCCAGAGAGUGCAAAGGCAGAAGGAGGCUUGACUGCGACACCGACGGGUGGAGCAGGUACGAAAGUAGGACUUAGUGAUCCGGUGGCAUAAAGUGGGAUUGCCAUCGCUCAACGGAUAAAAGCUACCCUGGGGAUAACAGGCUUAUCACUCCCAAGAGUUCACAUCGACGGAGUGGUUUGGCACCUCGAUGUCGGCUCAUCGCAUCCUGGAGCUGGAGCAGGUUCCAAGGGUUGGGCUGUUCGCCCAUUAAAGCGGUACGCGAGCUGGGUUCAGAACGUCGUGAGACAGUUCGGUCCCUAUCCGGCGCGGGCGCAGGAUAUCUGAGAGGAGCUGUCCUUAGUACGAGAGGACCGGGAUGGACCGUCCGCUGGUGGACCGGUUGUCAUGCCAAUGGCACGGCCGGGUAGCCAAGACGGGAAGGGAUAAACGCUGA